rnacentral:rRNA from 1 species
CAAUAGCGUAUAUUAAAGUUGUUGCGGUUAAAAAGCUCGUAGUUGGAUUUCUGUUGGGAACGACCGGUCCGCCCAUUGGGUGUGUAUCUGGCUUGUUCUCGGCAUCUUCUUGGUGAACGUUGCUGCACUUGACUGUGUGGAGCGCUACCCAGGACUUUUACUUUGAGGAAAUUAGAGUGUUUCAAGCAGGCAUAUGCCUUGAAUACAUUAGCAUGGAAUAAUAAGAUAGGACCUCGGUUCUAUUUUGUUGGUUUCUAGAGCUGAGGUAAUGAUUAAUAGGGAUAGUUGGGGGCAUUCGUAUUUAACUGUCAGAGGUGGAAUUCUUGGAUUUGUUAAAGACGAACUACUGCGAAAGCAUUUGCCAGGUAUGUGUUCAUUGA